rnacentral:lncRNA from 1 species
CAAGAUUGUAAAGGAGCAUUGUACAAGUAGCAAAACUGAUUUUCCUUUCCCUUCCCCUUCCCCUUCCCCUUCCCCUUCCCCUCAUGGAAUCGACAAUCUACGACCAAUAAUCCGGUUGCCACCCUGUUGAACGCGCCCAUCUGCCUUCUUCUCCGAUAUGUGGAGCUUCUUCUCAGUUAUUGAGGCAACUAUUUGAAUCGAUUUUGAGAUUAAAUUUUUUCUUUUUUGAAUUUUGAUAAUAAUUAUUUAUUAAUUAGUUUCCUCACUCAGUGAGCAUUUUUAAGUGUAAAUUUGUUAACAUUUUAGCUUUUUGAUGAAAGUAAUUUGGUUAAAUUUUUGUGAUAUUUUUCAGGUCAAAACGGGGUUAACAAUGAAGAAAGUUUCUUGUACGGUGAUCUGUAUGUUUUUUGCAUUCGGUGUGAUUUUCUUAUGUUUUAGUGUGUUUCAGUGUGUACGUAUUUUUUAUUUUUUUUAAUGUAAAGGUUUUUGAAUUUGAAGUAUUUCUAAUGAUUUUUAUGAUCAUCUACAGAUUACAGACGCCGAAUCCUUGAAUCAGUUAUAAUCGUUUUUCUGAAUAAUAGCAAUAAUUUAUGUUCGCUGGCACCGCUGAUGAUAGAUCAUGCUUCUUAUGUGAUUUGAAUGGAAAAACUUGUUUUGUUUUUCAUUUAGCAUGAUACUCAUGUUGAUUACAUCUUGGUUGUUAGGGUAGUCUCAUGUAAAUCCACUCUUCUUUGCUCAAUUACAUGGUAUAAUUUUACAACAAUGAAUUAUUUUUUUUUUUAAGAAAUUCAUAAAAACAUCCAUAUAACUUAUUAUUAAAUCAUAUAGUCCAAGA